GGGCGUAAAGAGCGUGUAGGCGAUUGGAUAAGUCAGAUGUGAAAUCCCUGGGCUCGACCCAGGAAGUGCAUUUGAAACUGUCCAGCUCGAGUAGGGAAGAGGAAAGUGGAAUUCCUGGUGUAGAGGUGAAAUUCGUAGAUAUCAGGAGGAACACCGGUGGCGAAGGCGACUUUCUGGUCCUAUACUGACGCUGAGACGCGAAAGCGUGGGGAGCGAACAGGAUUAGAUACCCUGGUAGUCCACGCUGUAAACGAUGAGAACUAAAUGUUGGAGGGGGAACCCUUCAGUAUUGAAGCUAACGCGAUAAGUUCUCCGCCUGGGAAGUACAGUCGCAAGACUGAAACUCAAAAGAAUUGACGGGGGCCCGCACAAGCGGUGGAGCAUGUGGUUUAAUUCGAUGCAACGCGAAGAACCUUACCUACCCUUGACAUCCUGCGAAUCCCGAUGAGAGUUGGGAGUGCCGCAAGGAGCGCAGAGACAGGUGCUGCAUGGCUGUCGUCAGCUCGUGUUGUGAGAUGUUGGGUUAAGUCCCGUAACGAGCGCAACCCUUGUCCUUAGUUGCCAUCAUUUAGUUGGGGACUCUAAGGAGACUGCCGGUGAUGAACCGGAGGAAGGCGGGGACGACGUCAAGUCAUCAUGGCCUUUAUGGGUAGGGCUACACACGUGCUACAAUGGGGCGUACAGAGGGUCGCCAACCCGCGAGGGGGAGCCAAUCUCUUAAAGCGUCUCGUAGUCCGGAUCGGAGUCUGCAACUCGACUCCGUGAAGUCGGAAUCGCUAGUAAUCGCGAAUCA
rnacentral:rRNA from 1 species